UACGUAGGGUGCAAGCGUUGUCCGGAAUUAUUGGGCGUAAAGAGCUCGUAGGCGGUCUGUUACGUCGGCUGUGAAAACCUGGGGCUCAACCCCGGGCCUGCAGCCGAUACGGGCAGACUAGAAUUCGGUAGGGGAGACUGGAAUUCCUGGUGUAGCGGUGAAAUGCGCAGAUAUCAGGAGGAACACCGGUGGUGUAGACGGCUCUCUGGACCGUAACUGACGCUGAGACACGAAAGCGUGGGUAGCAAACAGG
rnacentral:rRNA from 1 species